rnacentral:sRNA from 1 species
UUCUGGCCUGCUUGGGCACUGCAUGCAUGCAGGCAAAACACCCACACAGGUAAAAUAAAACAAUUUAAAUGUACUGUGUAAAAUCGCCUUCAGAGCUCAGCAUGGUGGGGCCCACCUGUCAUCCUAGCCCUUGUAUGGAUGAGGCAGGGGACUCACAAUCUUCCUAAAGACUUCAUGCAGGGACUCCCUGCCAUACACUACCUUUGCCUGUGUAGGAGUAGGAAACCUGACUGGUUGGAGUCAUUCUAGGGUUAAAAAGCUCAAUUUCAGGGGCUUGAAAUCCCAGCAAUCUAUGCUCACUACAAGCUCAGGACUUGAAAGUCCACCAGUCCGUACUCUGAAAAUCCCCACCCUGGAGCACUUCCUCCCCAAGAAACCUUAUGUAAGCCUGCUGUUCGGCUCUCUCCUGCUCCCCUGCAUGGGGUCACCUUCUGGAUCACUGGUUGUUCAGCAUCCCAUCCUCCUGUUACCCCUGGUAAGCGUCCCCUUCUGUGAGUCUGAGGAAGGAACCCUGAGCAUAAGCGCUCAGUAGUGGACCAAGUACCAAGCCCCAACCCAGUAAGAGAACAAGUGCCAGAUGGCAAGAUGUCGGAUAUUAACUCACGGCCGGGAAGCAUGUCUACUCAAGAGAGAAAUGUGUGCUGUUUGCAGAGAACAUCAGUCUUUUAGAUAAAUGUUGUUGGGCAAGCGAGAGUAAGCAGGCAGAUUAUAGGGACCAAUGAAAAGCAGCUAGCUUGACCUAUACCAGUAGUUUAUUUUUUUAAAGUUUGAAAUAAUAGACCUGCCUGCAGGUGUGACCCAGCUAGAAUUCUACAAGCCACUUCCUUCCUGUCACUGUACCUUCCUCACAGUACAUUGAACCUGUGUACCAAACUACUAACCCUUGGGUUGUUCUUCCCUUUAGAGAGGAUGUUUUUCCCUAGGUUGCUUCAGUACCUGCAGCUAUGACCUGUUCACCCACCCCAUCUCCUGCAGUCUCUAAGGCUAUGGCCGACCCUCUUCACUGAAGCCCCACGCCCACCCCCAUCCCCGCUUGGAGCUAAGAUCCUACAGCUUCCCUAGGCCCAGCUGGCUACUGCAAUCCUUCCUCCUCUUUUCCAUCUCCCCAUCGAAGCUGCAUGUAACUCCAGAGCUUCUCUGUGCUCUUGUGGCUUUUAUGAUACUAUGUGACCCUGUUCUCCAUCCCUUUCCCCUGGGUAAGACCUUGUUCCUAAACUUGUUCUUGUUGUUGCCUUCUGGGAAGCCUUGGGCCCCAUCCAAAGCUCUGAUACCAGACACUGAGUCCUGACACCAUGGAGUGUAGUGAGGACCCACUAAACAGCUUCAUCUUGUUUGGUCAUCCCUGAGUCCUGGGAAUGCCUGAUUACAGGCUGCUGUGACCUUCUCCCCACACCACCCUUCCCAUCCACAAAGCAGUGACGUCCAUUCCCCCCUUGGGAUGCCUCUCAGAAAACCUCCAGCCUCUCCACCUGGCACCUGACCUCAGUGGCCCAACCUUAGUUGCUUAGUUGCGUUUGCAGUCAGUAUUCCUCAGAUAAUCAAUCCAGAGGGCUGCCUAAUGGCAACCUAGUUUCCAAUGUUAUUUGGAACCUUUACAACUGCUAUGCAUGACUGGGGAAAGGGAAAGACUACCUAUGUCCAAACCUUCUCCUAUUUCUGCUCCAAGCCCUCUCUCUGUUCUUCCAGACCCAUCACCCAGCUCCUCCUACCCAGAAUGCCCAAAACACUGCUUUCACUUGGCCUCAGCCCACAGCCCCUUCUCUGGCCCCUCCUGUCUCCCUUCUCCCUCGAAAGCCACAGGCCACACUAGUCAGAUCUCUCACAUUCAGCCACUGGUGGCACUUGGUUUGCUAGUCAUUCCCACCUAUGAUGGAGCCGUCUCUGGAACUCCCCUUAUCCAGUCCAACUGGCCACGGUUCUCCCUCUGCAGGAAGUGACAGGGUGGAUGUCACAGGGUUGGGUACAUGUCCCCUUCUCACUGAGUGAACUCUCUCCCAUAGAAAAACGACUGGGAGCCAGGCAGCAGUGGCACAGGCACCACGCCUAUAAUCCCAGCAUUCUAGAGGCAGAGGCAGGCAAAUCUCUGAGUGAGGCCAGCCUGGUCUACAGAGCUUGUCCCGGGUCAGCCAGGGCUAUGAAGAGGAAAGAAAGAAGAUUAGUCCUAUAUCACUAAUCCCUCCUUGCACGUCUGUUAAGGAAUUCUAAUACAUUGCCAACUCAUACAAACUUACUUUCCUGCUGUUUACAGGAUUCUCACCACCAAUCUCCCAAGGAGCACAGGCAAGGCUGGGACCUGGCUGAGGUGCAUGCAGAUGAAGUCCACCAAGAAAAAGUCAUGUAAGCCCUGGGGAAUCUACAAAGUCAUAAGACUGGGGUCCACCUCUCACAGUCAGACAGACUCCAGGUAAGUAUAGCGUAAGUCUCCCCACCUGCCUACUCUUGAGGGUAGGACCUCCCCUUCCCCACAACCAGGACUGAAAAUUCCCACGUGUAUGAUUUUCAUUUAAGUUCCUAAACUUUAACCUCUGUCCCUAGUCUGUAUCUAUCUCAGCAGAUCUCCUCUCAGCUGACAGCAUCCAGAAAUCAGCUGCUGAUAAACUGCUCCAAAUGGCUGUGAGCCCUGGGCCUGCUGAGGCUGGUCCAGCCGAUGUGAUUCUCCUGGUCUCUUCAGCUAAGUCAGUGAACCAGAUGCUUCUGAUGAACGCUUUACUGCCUGAAUGCCCUCCCAGCCUUUGACUAGCAUUUUUGGCCCUGACUAUAAUGUUCUAAUUUCAGCAGAAAGUAGUUACAGACAAGAGCAUGUUACCUCUUAUCCUCUGCAAAAGAAAAACUCCUUGGCAGAGAGGACAAAAUGACUACCUAAAAUGCCUAUUGGCAUAACAGGAAAUGUCUUAGGGUUUUACUGCUGUGAACAGACCAUGACCAAGGUCCAGCAGAUACAGAAGAGCAGAUGGGAGACCCGGCCUUGUGGGAUGGAGUAACUACUGGAUUCCUGGACUUUCCAUCCACAGCUGGCUGUUGUUGGACGAGCUCGACUGCAACCUGUGAGUCAUUCCAACGAAUUCCCUUUACACGUAUAAUGGAAUCCUCACCUCUGUGACUCUAGAGAACCCCGUUCCAGCUGUCCUCAAACUUAGACCAGGCUGGCCUUGAACUUAUUCAUCUACUUGCUGGGAUUGAUGUUGUGCACCACAGUGGCAUGGCUUAGUCAUGGUGUUUAAUCACAGCAACAGAAAAGUAACUAGGAAGUUGGUAGCUGGGUGGUGGCAGUGUAUGCUUUUAGUCCCAGCAUUUGGGAGGAAGGCAGAGGCAGGCAGCUCUCUGAGAUCUCUGAGGCUGGUCUACAGAACAAAUUCCAGGACAGCCAUGGCCACACAGUGAAACUCUGUCUUGAAAAAACAAAACAAAACAGCCACAAAAAAAAAAAAAAAAAGAAGAAGAAGAAGAAGAAGAAGUUAGAACUAGAGUGUGGGCUGUUGCUGUAAUAGACCUGACCUUGUUUUUUUGAAGAGCGUGGAAGACUUAGUAAUUCCGGACUAAAGGUAGCAGUUGACCCCUUGACCCCUGAAAGAAAGUAUAAAGAUCACCGUAGUCCAGCGAGCAAUGUGGGCUGUGACGGCCCAGCUCCAAAGGUCUCAGAGGGAACAGCAGUGGCGACUAGGCAGGCGUCAUCCCUGGACGGCUUUGGCAGAGGAUGUGCUUGCCUUCUGCCCUUGUCUGGAGAACUUGCCUGAGUCUAAACUUAAAAGCAGAGGUUAACAUUUCUUUGGUGGAGGAAUUCCAAACAUAUGUUGAGUCUAUGGUUAUUGUUGCCAAUGCUUAUGUAGGUCUUCAAUGAGAAGGGGCAAUGAGACAGAAACAAACAUAACAUGUAUAUAUUGAAGAGAAGGAAAAGACCCUGGAGGCUUAGUAUUACACAGAAGGCUGGAACUGAGAUCAGCACCAGGAAGGACAGGCCUGCUCUGCCCAAGAGAACAAAGGGAAUGAGGUCCCCCAAGCAAAUCCACCCAGGUAAGCUCUCUUUCUGCAAGGCAAAGGUAGCCUGUGGCAGGGGAAUUCCUGUUUGAAGUCCUUAAUUCACUGUGUGAAGCUGUGAAAGUGAAGUCUGGGCUGCACUGAAAAUUCCAAGCUAUGGGAGAUGCCAGAUUCAUGGGACACCCGCCAAGGAGCGCCGCACACAGGAAAUGAAACCAUCCUGAGUUCUGUGCUGCAGGGCAGCGAGGCUGGACACACAGAGCCAUCUCAGCCACUGACAUCAGACAUAGAACUACACACAGGCUUUAGAGCUCACGUGUUGCUUUUGGUCUUUUAGUCGUUUUUCACCAAGCCCCCAUUCCUUCUUUUUGGAAUGGUAAUAUAUUCUGUGCCACUGUAUGUGAGAACUGUGUAAUUUGCCUUUUGAUUUUACAGGCGAUUACAAUUAAGAGAUUGUUUUGAGUCUCAGAAGCGUCUGUGGGCUUUUGAGCAGUGUUGAGACUGAGAAAGACUAUGGGAACUUUUGAUCUGAAUGUAGACUGCAGUUUGCUAUGGUUAUGGAGUCAAGUGGAAUGUGGUGGUUUGAAUGACAAUGGCUUUUUUUUUUUCUUUUUUUCGGAGCUGGGGACCGAACCCAGGGUCUUGCGCUUGCUAGGCAAGUGCUCUACCACUGAGCCAAAUCCCCAACCCCGACAAUGGCUUCUUAAAAGAUGUUUGAGCAUUUGGUCCCUGAUUCCGGGUGCUGUUUGGGUAGGCUCAGGAGGCUGUCUUUCUGGAAGCAUGUCACUACUUCCUGCUUAUUAAGGGUGCUGAGUUCCUGGGGGCAAGUUUGAUCUUCACAGUCAGGAUAUCUAAUUUCUUCUUUGCACACAACUACUUAAGAAACCACAACCAACAGCAAACAAAGCACCAGCCUACCAACCAACCAUCUACCCCUCUGAGGCCCUAGCACUUACACCCCCUCUGAAAAGCCCCCAGAAUUCAAAACCCACACAACUGCAGACACUAUCUGUAGCUGGCAAAAAUGAUGCUUCUGCCAGAACAUGAGGCAAAUCAUAGUCGGCCCCUGUGGCUGGUCGGACGCACACCCCUGAAGCACAGUCUGAAGCAACCCUAUACCUCGGAUUAAAAUGAAAACAUACUCUUGUAGUAUUUCUGCCUUUCGUUUUGCUUUUCUAAAGAAGCCGAGUUCUCACUGGUGUUGAGUGACAGUUCACUGCAGCCCUAGGUGUCCUAUUUGUUUCUACGUCUGAUACUCACCUAGCUUACUGCUGACUUCUGCUCUGACAGCGCUGCCAUGGACUGAUUCCUGUGCUGUGAAUGCAUUUGUCUGCUCCAGCUGCUUUCUUUGCAAAUCCCUUAAUUUUUUUUUUUAAGAACUCUUAACUGCUGAGUCAUUUUUCCUAUCCCUUGCUCUAUAUCCUUUUUAAAA